CACCACUCGAGUCUGACUCGGUAUUGGGCAACGCGGUCCGCCGCGUGCCUCAAAUCGACCGGCUGGGUCUUCUGUCCCCUAAGCGUUGUGGAAACUAUUCGCUAAAGGGUGCUCGGGAGGCUACGCCGUAAAACAACCCCAUUUCUAA
rnacentral:misc_RNA from 1 species